rnacentral:tRNA from 1 species
UGUGGCUCAGUGGUAGAGUGCUUGCCUAGCAAGCAUGAGGUCCUGUGUUCGAUCCCUAGCA